ensembl:lncRNA
AGUGAGUGUGUGUUUGUAUUUCUGCCACAUGGUGUGAUAUCAUUAGACAGCACUCAGAGAUGAUGACUCAUCUGGGACAAGCCUCUCAGAGUUACCCAAGUGCAGGCACAGAGAAGUUCUGAAAUACGACCCAUUCUAGAGUCAUCUAAUUCCUCUCCGCUUGCUUUCCUUUCACGUGACUACUUUACAUUACUGCUUAACGCAGCAUCAGAUUGAAAGAGAUCAAGAUUGGAUUUUAAUGUAUAGUCCAGCUCUCACGUGGUGUGGUAUUCCCAGACAAGUGCCCUUUCAGUAAUGUGUUUGUAUCCCACAACAAUGCUUUAUCAUGACCGACAGCAUUAGAGCAGAGGUAAUUGUGUUUGGUCCGUGUCUGUGGUAAAUGAUGGCUGGGCUCUGCAGGGGGCAGUCCACACUGACUGCCUUGUCUGGUUUACCUCAGCGUCUGGCUCCACCCUAAUCAAGUUACAACGCUGCUGCACCCCACAAGAUCUAUCUGAGCUCUGAUGGUGAGGGGCAACCUGAACUUAGCAGAGGGUGAGACAGGUGAGGUCCAAUUGGAUUUCCUGAUUAGGUAGGUGAUUGCUAUUGGUUUGUCCUUACCAAGGACAUGGGUGGUUCACCAUGCAGUCUUUGGGUUUAACAGAUCCUUUAGCCUCUAAAACUUGUCUCUAUAGAGAUUACAGGUAUGAUAAUAUAAGUUGGAAUAUAAUAUAUUACAGACAAUAACAUAUCAUGUAUUUACAAAAUGAAGCUUGAUUUUAUUAUUGAUAUCAGGCUUGCAACCAAGUAACCAAAAAUGAUAUGGAAAAUGAUAUUAGCAUUACUACAUAAAGAUGUUUGAGCUUCUGCAUUCUCCAUUCAGCCUGUCAAUCCUCCGUAUUCUCUCAAUUUGCAUCUGCACACCUGUCUACCUAACCUCUCCUGACCUAUAUGACCUCUCCUGACCUAUAUGACCUCUCCAGACGUAUAUAAACUCUCCUGACCUAUAUCACCUGAACUACCUGACAAACUGUCCUGAUUUAUAUAACCUGUCCUGAUUUAUAUAACCUGUCCUGACCUAUAUAACCUGUCCUGAUUUAUAUAACCUGUCCUGAUUUAUAUAACCUGUCCUGACCUAAAUAACCUGUCCUGAUUUAUAUAAACUGUCCUGAUUUAUAUAACCUGUCCUGACCUAAAUAACCUGUCCUGAUUUAUAUAACCUGUCCUGACCUAUAUAACCUGUCCUGGUUUAAAUAACCUGUCCUGACCUAAAUAACCUGUCCUGAUCUAUAUAACCUCUCCUGAUCUAUAUAACCUGUCUUGAUUUAUAUAACCUGUCCUGAUCUAUUCAUUUCAUUGGAUGCAAUAAUAGUAUAGACAUACAAAGUCUACAGUGCUGAAGAUGAUGACAUCAUCUAAAUAGAGCUAUGUGAAGAAUGUUCUGCAUUAUAUUUACAGAAAAUGCCUAUGAUAUUUGUGCAGUAAUAGUGAAAAUAUAGCAUUUAGAAACAAUGUUUUGGGUCCAUACAAAAUUACAUUUUGAUCUGAUUAGACUCUUGUUGUCAAGUUGGAAAGCGGGCAAUUCGUCUGUCACUUCCUGGUGGAUUUCUACUACAAAGUUUAGUCAAUUUCUGUUCAUGUGAGAAAACAAGCAAUAUAUAGGGCAGGGAACCAUUGUGCCAUAAAAAAUAUAGUUUUUACAGCUUUUUAAAGCAGGUGGACAGAAGUGAAUGUAAAACACUGAAGUGUCAGGUGACAACGUUAUUCCAAACGGCAACUGAUGUUGCCGCAAGUCACCAAGCUUGGACAUGGGGAAUCAUUUCUACACACAGCUCGUUUCAGACGCCAACAGUCAGCUUAGGCAGGAGUCCUGAUGUGGAUGGCUGGAGAGGCAUCGGGCAGACAUCCACUAGUCCGGAGGAGGACAGGCCCAUGACGGGGGCAGGUGGGUCACAUGGGGUAGAACUGUGAGGCCGCCUCCGAUGACUGGAUCUCCACCUGGGCCAUCUUGAACUGGGUGCACUGCAGCCACUUGCGCAGGGCGAAGGGCAGGGCACCGGCUGCCUGACCCUGUACACACUGGUGGUUCUGGUGGUUGACCCGGUUCUGGAUGGCCUGCAGACGCAGCUGGAGCCCCGCAGAAAGGUGCUGCAUGGGACAGUGGUGGGACACGGGAGACAGGUUAUGGGACAGUGGUGGGACAUGGAAGACAGGUUAUGGGACAGUGGUGGGACAUGGAAGACAGGUUAUGGGACAGUGGUGGGACACGGGAGACAGGUUAUGGGACAUGGGAGACAGGUUAUGGGACAGUGGUGGGACAUGGAAGACAGGUUAUGGGACAUGGGAGACAGGUGAUGGGACAGUGGUGGGACAUGGAAGACAGGUUAUGGGACAGUGGUGGGACAUGGAAGACAGGUUAUGGGACAGUGGUGGGACAUGGAAGACAGGUUAUGUAACUUCAUUGUGUAGGGUUAUUCAGAAUUUGAAACAAUCAGUCUUCUUACCUUUAAAUUUGACUGAAUCAUGGGCAACCACAUGGGAAUUAGCUGAUGGAGAGAGGAGAUUAAUUAUUUCGUAACUAGCAAACACAAAUAGUCAAAUUGUUUUGCGUAAAUUCAUGGCAAAUGACAUACAUGUUUGGGGAAAUGCCCACGUACCUUCACGAAGAUGGUUGAGUUGCAUUCUUGUAGUGCCUCCAUCAGGCUGAUAACAUGAAGACAAACCAUCUCCACCAUC